GGUUUAAUUACCCAAGUUUGA
rnacentral:misc_RNA from 4 species